GAUGAACGCUAGCGGCAGGCCUAACACAUGCAAGUCGAGGGGUAAAGGCAGCUUGCUGCUUUGAGACCGGCGCACGGGUGCGUAACGCGUAUGCAAUCUACCUUGUACUAAGGGAUAGCCCGGAGAAAUCCGGAUUAAUACCUUAUGGUUUUUAUGAAUAGCAUUAUUUAUAGAAUAAAGAUUUAUCGGUAUAAGAUGAGCAUGCGUCCCAUUAGUUAGUUGGUGUGGUAACGGCACACCAAGACGAUGAUGGGUAGGGGUCCUGAGAGGGAGAUCCCCCACACUGGUACUGAGACACGGACCAGACUCCUACGGGAGGCAGCAGUGAGGAAUAUUGGUCAAUGGAGGCAACUCUGAACCAGCCAUGCCGCGUGCAGGAUGACGGUCCUAUGGAUUGUAAACUGCUUUUGUACGGGAAGAAAAAGAGCUACGUGUAGUUUAUUGACGGUACCGUAAGAAUAAGGA
rnacentral:rRNA from 1 species